rnacentral:tRNA from 1 species
UUUUUCCAUUUUUUAAAUUGGCAUUCUAUGUCCAAUAUCUCGAUCUUAAUCUGAAGUAUAAUGAUGAAUGGAAAAAAGAGAUUUAGCUAGAUAAGGGAAGGGGCGGAUGUAGCCAAGUGGAUCAAGGCAGUGGAUUGUGAAUCCACCC